rnacentral:rRNA from 1 species
AGUGAACGCUGGCGGUAGGCCUAACACAUGCAAGUCGAACGGCAGCACAGUAAGAGCUUGCUCUUACGGGUGGCGAGUGGCGGACGGGUGAGGAAUACAUCGGAAUCUACUUUUUCGUGGGGGAUAACGUAGGGAAACGUACGCUAAUACCGCAUACGACCUACGGGUGAAAGCAGGGGAUCUUCGGACCUUGCGCGAUUGAAUGAGCCGAUGUCGGAUUAGCUAGUUGGCGGGGUAAAGGCCCACCAAGGCGACGAUCCGUAGCUGGUCUGAGAGGAUGAUCAGCCACACUGGAACUGAGACACGGUCCAGACUCCUACGGGAGGCAGCAGUGGGGAAUAUUGGACACUGGGCGCAAGCCUGAUCCAGCCAUACCGCGUGGGUGAAGAAGGCCUUCGGGUUGUAAAGCCCUUUUGUUGGGAAAGAAAAGCAGCAGGUUAAUACCCCGCUGUUCUGACGGUACCCAAAGAAUAAGCACCGGCUAACUUCGUG